ensembl:snoRNA SNORD93 small nucleolar RNA, C/D box 93
UGGCCAAGGAUGAGAACUCUUAAUCUGAUUGGAUAUGCUUCUCUGAUGGGUUAAAGGAUUUACCUGAGGCCA